rnacentral:rRNA from 1 species
UACGUAGGGGCAAGCGUUGUCCGGAUUUAUUGGGCGUAAAGAGCGUGUAGGCGGUUAGGUAGGUCCGUUGUGAAAACUCGAGGCUCAACCUCGAGACGCCGAUGGAAACCAUCUGACUAGAGUCCGGAAGAGGAGAGUGGAAUCCUGGUGUAGCGGUGAAAUGCGCAGAUAUCAGGAAGAACACCCGUGGCUAAGGCGGCUCCUCUAGUACGGUACUGACGCUGAGACGCGAAAGCGUGGGGAGC